UACGUAGGGUGCAAGCGUUGUUCGGAAUCAUUGGGCGUAAAGCGCGUGUAGGUGGUUAGGUAAGUCGGGUGUGAAAUCCCUGGGCUCAACCGAGGAAGUGCAUCCGAAACUACUUAGCUAGAGGACGGCAGAGGAAGGUGGAAUUCCUAGUGUAGAGGUGAAAUUCGUAGAUAUUAGGAGGAAUACCGGUGGCGAAGGCGGCCUUCUGGACCGCUCCUGACACUGAGACGCGAAAGCGUGGGUAGCAAACAGGG
rnacentral:rRNA from 1 species